UUACUUAAAAUUUUAUCUUCCUUGGGAAGUUAAGUUUCUGUUGGCUUGUCUGCGGAAUAUUUUUAAAGUCGUUCAAAAUUAUUUAACUAGCCAGUGCUGUUAGCAUGCAUGAUGUAAUGAGAGUGAGGCUUUUAAAAGAAGGUCAUGAGGACGUUGAAUGUAUAAUCGCUGUAGGGAUGGAUUCCUUUUUCUUAAAAACUUUUUCUGGCCGAUUACUACUCUACAAACUUUCACAGG